UACGAAGGGUGCAAGCGUUACUCGGAAUUACUGGGCGUAAAGCGUGCGUAGGUGGUGAGUUAAGUCUGUCGUGAAAGCCCCGGGCUCAACCUGGGAAUGGCGAUGAAUACUGCCGCGGCUGGAGCACUGUAGAGGCAGGCGGAAUUCCGGGUGUAGCGGUGGAAUGCGUAGAGAUCCGGAAGAACACCGGUGGCGAAGGCGGCCUGCUGGGCAGUUGCUGACACUGAGGCGCGAAAGCGUGGGGAGCAAACAGG
rnacentral:rRNA from 1 species